GCCACACAGCAUGUCCUGUGGGACUGGAGAAAUAUGGAGAAUGCAGCACACUUGCUUCCUACUGAAAUUCAGAUAUACAUGAAAAUCAUUUUGCAUAAUGAAGGAUUAAAAUCAAAUUGUUUUGGGACAGCAGAGGAUGAAGAAACUCAUUUUGACUGAAGUUAUUGGAUGAGACAUGGCUGUGGACAACUUCAGAGAAGAUAUAUUUAAGCAGAACCUUAAACUUAUGUCAGAAUUUUUAAUCACCAGAGAUCAGCAAAGCCAAAGGCAUAUAGACUAUUUCUCAGAUGCACUUGUCAAGAUGAGAGAAUGUGGGCAGAGACAUUCGAACAGGGAAUUACUCCUCCCAAGAAUAUUCUUCCAAGGAAAUCCCUGAAAAACCAGAUGGCAGAAGUUACUCAGAAGAAAUGAAAGGAUUUUCCAUUAUUCAAAUAGGAGGUGGAAGAGGAAGUGUGGGAGUAAUUACUGGAUUAAGAUCACUGAAAGACAAGAUUGUCUUUAAGGUGAAGUGAAGUGAAUGACAUAGGCAUUGUGAUGCAGCGUUAGGCUACUACAGUAUUGACCUUCUGACCAUACAUCAGAAAGAGGAUCAUCUGCUUCUGGUGAUCUUGGAUUAUCAAGCUAUGACAAUGUUGAUGGUUGCAUGUCAGGAGCAGAUAAUAUUAAUGACUAACAGAAACAGAAGACUGAGAAGAAAAGAAGCUUGCUCAAGGUCACAUAGAGCUGGAAUUUAAAUUCAGAUCUAUUAUACUCUUAAGGACUGUGGAAGGGUGAGUAAGAAUAAGUCACAUAUUUCCAGUGUUUUGCCCCUAUGAUCAAAAUUACCCUUAUUAUGAAGAUAGAAAUGUCAUCAUAUCUGGGCCCAACUACACUAAAUUUUAAAUCACCUGACUAUGCCUUUUUAUUCUGAUUCUCUGAUCUCCAAUGAACUGUGUCUCUUGGAAAAUUAUUUGGUAGACAUUGAUCUUAUGAAUGUGGCAGUUGAUUCCACCAAUAAGCACAACCUCAUUCUUAGUCUGCUUAAAAACUAAGAUAAUACAUUGAGGACCAAGGUAAUUUCACCCUAUGACAACUCUGGAAAGGCAACUAAAUGAUAUCUUCAUUCAUUUGCUUGUCCAUUUGCUAUUCUUCAUGAUUACUAUGUGCAAAGCACUGUGCAAGUCAUUGGAGAUGCAGUGCUAUAACAAGAGUCAUAUUUUUAUUGUUCUCAAGACCUAGUAUACUAGGAAAUAGAGACAUGGAAGAAAUCUUUGUUCAAGUAGUUAACUUUAAUAAUUAUUGUGGGACCCAAGAAGAAUUGCAGGAUGUGAUGUAGGUAUGGAAUAAGCAAACUUAUCUGAUAUAGGGAAUCAGAGAAAGUUUACCUGUUGAAAUUUCUCUGCAUUACAUUUUGAAUAUAAAUGUGUUUCUGAUACCUCAAUAGAUUUUUGGGAGAUAUUGGGCUUUUAAUUAAAAAUGACCAGUAAGUGAUCUAAAAUAUCUUCCUGGAAGUUGGGGGAGAGAGAGAGAGAGAGAGAGGGAGCACAAGCUAGAAAAUAAUGCUGAUAGUUUAAAUGGUGGGAGUGGAUGAAAGCAGACGCAAAGAGGAAAUGACAGUCUUUGGGACACCUAUCCUUAGAGGGCAGGAAGAAAUUGAGAAACCAAGGAAAGUAAAGUUAUAAAGUAACCAGAAAAUAAAAAGUGCUGGCAUAGUUCAGUAUCACAAUAUUCCAAGGAAGAUAAGAUUUAAAAGAGGCAGGAAAGAUUGUCACCAGGAACAAAAGCUAUGGACAAGAGACAUAGAUUGAGGACAGGAACUGAAGGUUGUGGUAGAGAUUACUGACCUAUAAUAGACCCAUUCUGCUCUUUUCUUUUAUAAGCAAAUGGAUUCCUGUUUCUUAGCUGAGCACAAGGUUGCCCAGUAAAAGAAUUACAUAUAUCCACCUAUUUUGCAUCUUUAUGGGCCAUAUGAAUAGUUCUGACAAAUUACAUAAACAAGAAAUAUUGAGUGGAGCCCCUGGUAAGUGCUACUCAAAAAAGGGGAACGUUUCUUUCUUACUCCCUUCAUUUAGUUGGUUGCUUGGAAUGUUGGUGUCAUGCUAAGGGGUCCAGCAAUCAUGGUAGGCCCUAGAAGAUGGAUACUACAUUCCUAACAUUACAAGGACCUUGAAGAAGUUAUACAUCUUUCCCCUAUUUUCUCCAUCCUCAGUGAAGGGGUUAGAUUGAAUAAGAAAGAAGAGGGCUCCAAUAGAAAUUUUGAAGUGUGUAUAAUGGUGAAAUAUUGAAGAAGAAAAUAAGAGCCUUUCUUCCAUUUUUCUGACCAAAUAAUGAUGGCACUUCCUGUCUUCUUUCACAGUGGGAAAGAUAAUAUAAACUAUUAAAAAUAUAUAAUUCUAGAUCUUACUCUGUAACCUAUUAUUAAAUUUUUGAAGGUAGCAUUUUCACUUUUCUCACCUGUAUGUUUCUCCAUGGUGUCUAGCAGAGGCCAUGUCAAAUUGCAGAAACUUAUCUAUUCUCCGUGACCAUGACUCCUGGCCAUAACUGAGUGGAUGGUGGAUAGGACACCCGAGCCAAGUUGGUGCAAUCAUAUUGGCUCUUUCAGGAUCUUGGAAUUGGGAUUUAGAGACCUGUGACUUAUAUGAGUAUACUCGGGAGUUAUAAGGCAAUGGCUGUCUUGUAUGUACAUAGGCAGAGACAACAGGUAUGGAGAGAGAGAAUGAUAAAGCAGCCAUAUAGAAGAAAGACAGACCGUGUGUUCCUUGAGAGAGAGAGUGUGUAAGAGAGAAAGGUAGAGGUAGGUUGGGAGAGAGUAACAGAGAGAGAGAGAAAGAGAGAGAGAAAAUGAUAAAAGAGUAGCUACUUGGAUUUUUGAUCUGUCUCCAGGCCUUCUGAGGCCUGCUUCCAUUUCCACAUACCAUCACUCAAGAUAAUCUCUGUGAUGAGUCUUUGUAACUUGCACACCAAAAAAAAAAAAAAAAAAAAAAAAAAAAGUCUUCAUGCAUGAUAAAUUAUUCCGUGCAGUUCCACAGAGAUCUUCUAAGGGAAAGAAAAUAUAAGUCCACUUAACCCAAUCUCAGAAUGGCCUUAUUUUAGUUUUGUGAUGGUUGCUAGUGGUCCAGAGUAUUUUUCAGGUUCCAAGGGAGACAUGGAGAUGUGGGACUAUUCAAACAGCUGGAACUUGAGGAUGUACUUGGGGCUAUAGUUAGAGGUGAUGAUAGAAGUGAAAAAAGUGAAUAAGAUGCUCAACUUUUAAUUUUACAAGCUCAAACACUCAAGAAACCAAAGCAUCGUGAAUGGAAAAGAAAAGAUAGGGUACAUUUCUAACUUUAAAAUAAUUAUAAUCUAGGUAGAGAAAAGUAAAAUAUACACAUAUGCACCCAGAACUAAAUGAGUGCUACAGAUUAUAAGCAUUAUAAGAUAUAAAGAAGAUAGCUAUUAUUGCUGGGCUAUUGUUUUCAGGUAUUAAUAACGUCAGGUUUGGUUUAGGCUAUAAAGGACAACUUUGCUCUCACAAUGGAAAAUGUAGUGACUUGAGGUCAGCUUUUCUACUGACUAGAUAUGUGACUGUGAUCAGUCACUUUACCUUUCCAAUUUCACAGCAGUUUCCUCCUCUGUAAAAUGAGGGCUGUGUAUUGGAUUCAUUAAUUCAUUCAAAACAUAAACUUUCAGUGCCCACUGUAAUGUAUAGAACUAGGAAUACUGCAUAAAUACCAGUCUUCUAAAAAGACUGUCACUCUGAUGUGUCUAUGAACAAAAGACAGUGGGAGGCAACUAAGCUGCCUACAGGUAAAGAAAAACUCCAUUGAGACCAUGUUUGGAUGAAUAGGAGUUGUUAGGUGAAUCCGAUAAUGAUGGAACCUUCCGGAGAAAGGGUUGCAUAGAUCAUUGCAAAUGUUUCUUGUAGCAUUAAUAUUUUUAUUUGCUUCUGCUUUGUUUAGAGGAGGAGGAAGGGAGUGAACAAAUGUUGGGUAGGAGUUAAGCGUAUGAAUUGAAGAGAAGAUAGAAGGAAAUAAUUUCCUGGGCUUCUUCAAACCCCUAAAAUGUAUUCAAAGUGAAUUCCAUGAAGGAAAAUACAUGAAAAAGCAGAUAAUUAAAACCUCCUUUGCCUCCUCUGUAUUUCUGUCUUGUAUAAGAUCUUAGAGAUACUGCAAAAAUGAUAUAAUAGGAUUCAUGUCCCUCAUAGACGUUUAGGACUCCCAUCCAGAGGCAGUGUGUGGAGUGCUUAAGAAUUUGAGUUUUGAAGACAGAUCACAUGCUAGCUAACACCACCACCUACUAGUUGUAAGAUCUUUAAAAAGUUUAAACUUUUUUGUGCCUUUGCCUUCUCAUCUGUAAAAUGGAGAUGAUAACAAUAGCUACUUCCUAUGGUGAGAAUUAAAUGUAUUAAACAUAUAAAGUGCCUAGAACCAGCACAUAAAAGCACACUGGCAUUUAAAAAUAAUAGCAUAUUAGUUAUUAUUACCUAUUAUUCCAUAGAGAGUUCACCACCGAGGUGAGGUAAUGGCAAUAUGCCUCCCUACAUUAGUGAGUAACCUGAGGGUGCUUCCCUGUGCCUGGUCUUCAAUAGGGAUGGCUUAGAAUUUGCUUAUUUAGUCAUGAUACAAAAGUAUGUCCAAUGAGGCCCUAUUUCAGGCACGGUGAACUAUAUGAAAGGAGAAAUAAAUAAACCGUGAAGUACAAUAUUCCAACACAAGGCAGUACAUUUUAAAUAUAAAACAAAUAUUUAGGAGCUCAGAGGAGGCAGAUGUGACAGCUGCCUGAAACAUCAGGGGACACUUCUUGGGUGGCAUGGGAAGUGUACAAUGACAGACAUCAUUUCAGGGAUUUAAGUCAGGAUUUGCCUCAGCUGGUUUGUGCACCCUCUUUGCAUUCACAAGCCUUUCUUUCGUCUCGCCUGAGCUUUUAGAGCAAAAUCUGAUCCAGAGACUGUGGAUGCUGGAGGAGCGUCAAGGCUGGGAAAGUAACAUGCACUGUGUUCGCAAUCAACAGAAAAGAUAUUUUUAAACAAAAACAAUUUUCCAAGUUUCCAGGAAGAGAAACAAAAGGCUUUUCUAAAAUGAAAGAAACUGUUCUUCUCAUUCUGUGACUUUUAUGUCACUUGGACAACAAGCCAGUGCUUAGGAACGGUUAUUUUCCUGUCGACAUCGCUGCAUGGAUACUUCUUAGAAGAACAUAACAGCAUUAGCACUCAGUCCCAGGUUCUGCUCACCCUCCAAUGGCAGUCGUCUUCAAAAACAAUAAAGAUAUCUGUGCUUGGUCUCUCUGUCUUGAUUACACUGCAGGCACAACCUGUGUGGGGAAACAAUAUCCUGGAUCAUACUGAAGGUUCGCACAGAUGGAACAUUAGUGGGAGGGGUUGCCAGCUACUUCCCUGCCAACUUGUUAGUGCUGGAGACAUUAUCCUCUUAUUUUGCCAGUUUAACAGAAGAUCAGUCGUAAAGAUUCACUGUAGGCUCAGCAACAUAAUUAUUAUCUAUGGUCUCUGCAUUAACUGUGAGAAAACAUCAUAGUCUGAAUCUGCCUAAUUUCAAAUGCCAAGCUGUGCCCACAUUCAGCCCACAACUGAACCUGAAUACUCAAUAUAUCCUUAGCAUUGCUACUGUUGUCAUCAUGGUGGAUGUUAAGUACAGGUUUGCCCAAGCUAUGAUGUUUAAUUGUUGCCUUACUGCUUCUGUAUUUCUUCUGUUUCCCUGACCCUUUUCAACACCAGCCCCAUGCAAUUUAAAACUAUUAAAAAGGUAAAAAUCGGUGUCACAUUUAGUUCUGCUACUCAGUACAGAAGUGCCAAGCCCCUGCAAAUCUGGAAAACAAACUCCUUAACAGAUGGGCCACAUAAAGUUUACAACAUGUGCAAUGUGGGAGGUAGUAUGGCUCUGGGCAAGAAACAGAAGACUGGAAGUUUGGGAGCUCAGGGUUUUUGAAUUUGCUUUUGCUUUUUG
rnacentral:lncRNA from 10 species